CAAAAAACAAUGAGGCGUACGU
rnacentral:siRNA from 1 species